rnacentral:rRNA from 1 species
UACGGAGGGGGCAAGCGUUAUCCGGAAUUAUUGGGCGUAAAGCGUCCGCAGGUGGCUAUUCAAGUCUGCGGUCAAAGACUGGGGCUUAACCCUGGAAAGGCCGUGGGAACUGAAGAGCUAGAGUGCAGUAGGGGUAGAGGGAAUUCCCGGUGUAGCGGUGAAAUGCGUAGAGCUCGGGAAGAACAUCGGUGGCGAAAGCGCUCUGCUGGACUGCAACUGACACUCAGGGACGAAAGCUAGGGGAGCGAAUGGG